rnacentral:rRNA from 1 species
GACGAACGCUGGCGGCGUGCUUAACACAUGCAAGUCGAACGAAGUGGCGAACGGGUGAGUAAUACGUGGGUAACCUGCCCUCCUUUUUGGGAUAAGCCUUGGAAACGGGGUCUAAUACCGAAUAAAGGGGGAUGGGCUCGGGGCCUAUCAGCUUGUUGGUGGGGAGAUGGCGUAACAAGGCGGGGACGGGUUGCCGGCUGGAGAGGUGGACCGGGCACUAUGGGACUGGGAUACGGCCAAGAGUACGACGGGAGGGGGCAGGGGGGGAAAUUGCCCAAUGGGCGAACGACUGAUGCAGCUACGCCGCGUGGGGGAUGAAGGCUGUCGGGUUGUAAACCUCUUUCGCGAUCGAACGGGUAGGUGGAGAAGAAGCGCCGGCUAACUACGUGCCAGCAGCCGCGGUAAUAC